GUGAUGGGGUCUGAUUGCGGACAGGUGUCUGCAAUCUGACUCAAUCAGGAAGUGUGUAUUUAAGUGCCUGCUUGUCUUUCAGUGAGGGGUGGAGAGAGAGAGAAGGAAGACGCUCUCUGCGAGCUAGAGAGAGCGUCGUAUGACCAAGUGACGGACGGAAAGAACAUCCAGCGUUGUCCUUUUGUCCUUUUGUGACGUUGUGUUUGUUUGCCUGAAGGGGAAAUAAACAGGAGUUCGCUCCAUUUCUCCUAAGAACUGUGUCCUGACUCGUUGAAACCCGUUACAGUGGCGCCCAACGUGGGGCGAGUCAAGUAUGGAACAAUCGCCAUUGGCCAGUGUCCUCGGACACCUGGCGCAAACAGCAGCGCUACAGACCCAGCUACAGCAGGCCCAGAACGAGGUCCUGGUGGAGCUGGCCCGCUCCUUGGCCGCCGACCGGGAGGCCAUGCGGGAGCUACUCGGCUCUGGAAAACGUGGCGGGGUAACCCGACCGGGCCAACAAAUAUUUAUUCCUAAAAUGGGGAGGCUGACGACCCAGAGGCCUUUCUGGAGACCUUCCGAGGGGUGGCCGAGGUCUCAGAGUGGCCGCCGCAGGAGUGGGCCCACCGUCUCCUGCCUCUGCUGACGGGAGAGGCCCAGCUCGCAGCCCACAGCCUACCAGCGGCGGCCCAGAACGACUUCAACCUCGUCGCCAGGGAUAUCCGGGACCGGUUGGGCCUAAACCCGGAGGAACAUCGCCGGCGGUUCCGGGCCCUGGCCUUCACCGACGGCGACCGGGCCUUCAUCUACGCCCAGCAGCUGCGGGACCAGGCGAGGAGGUGGCUGGGCCCGGAGCAAAACACACCGGAGGACAUAGUGGAGCAGGUGGCCCUGGAGAGGCAGACGCGUCGGAUAGGGGGUUGGGCGCGGUCCUGACCCAGCAGGUUGAGGGGACCGACCGUCCGGUGCUGUACCUGAGCCGCAAGCUGUCGGGCCGCGAGGGUCGGUACAGCACGGUAGAGAAGGAGUGUCUCGCCAUCCGGUGGGCGGUCGGUGCCCUUCGCUACUACCUGCUGGGUCGCCAGUUCACCCUCUACUCCGACCACGCCCCCCCUCCAGUGGCUCCACCGGAUGAAGGAUGCCAACGCCAGGAUCACCCGGUGGUACCUCGCGUUGCAGCCGUUCAAUUUCCGGGUGGCCCACAGGCCGGGGCGCAGAUGGUCGUGGCAGACUUCCUCUCCCGUCCCGGGGGGGGGGGGAGUAGGUUUACGGCCGGAUGGGUCCCCGGCCUGUGUCGUGCGGUGGGGGUAUGUGGAGGUGGGGCGGCGUCUGGCCUGCAGGGGGAGCAUGGAGCACCGGGUCUGCUGGGGUGAUGGGGUCUGAUUGCGGACAGGUGUCUGCAAUCUGACCCAAUCAGGAAGUGUGUAUUUAUGUGCCUGCUUGUCUUUCAGUGAGGGGUGGAGAGAGAGAGAAGGAAGACGCUCUCUGCGAGCUAGAGAGAGCGUCGUAUGACCAAGUGACGGACGGAAAGAACAUGCAGUGUUGUCCUUUUGUGACGUUGUGUUUGUUUGCCUGAAGGGGAAAUAAACAGGAGUUCGCUCCAUUUCUCCUAAGAACUGUGUCCUGACUCGUUGAAACCCGUUACAGUGGUAUUCAAUUUCUUUCAACGGGGCUACAUCCAGUCACUUGACCGUUAUGGUUGCUAUGGUGGUUGCUAUCGACCGCCCCCUCUAAUCCUUACAUGGC
ensembl:lncRNA